GAGGCUAUUUAGCCGCGCCCGCCGCCCCUCCCUCGUGACCCGCCCGCGCCGGGCAUCCUGGGACUUGUAGUUUUCUCGAGGCGGCAGAGCCAGUCCAGCCCGGGGGCGGCGGGCUUCCGGGACCGCAAUUCCCGGCAGGGAGCACGCCCUCCUGCGCCGGCGGCCGGGCCGGGAGGGUACCGGGGGCUUCGGCGCCGUCGGGGCAGAGCCCGCGGGGUUCGGGGAGUGGGGUGGGGUGGGGGGGCUGUGCACCCCGUGCCUCGCUCGCUCUCCCUGACUCCCCUUCUCUCGCCGUGCAGCUGCGGCGCCGAGGGGUCGGUGCUGGGUGCACAGUCUCCAUCACUCACCGUCGAGGCUCGGGGGAAUGAUGAAAACAUACCAGUUGUGCAGGAGGAAUGACUUUGCCCGGCCCUGAGCCACAGUAGAUGUUUCUCUUGGGUCCUCAUAAAGGAGACACUGUGAUGUAGUGAACAACAUCCCCAGCAGUUUGCCUACCACGAAGACAAUGGUGGAGAGUAAAUUCAGGAAAUUCAUCUUGGUUGACAACAAAAGUCCACUACAUGUAUUUGGAAUAAAUGGAUGAGCUUC